UGAGGAAUAUUGGUCAAUGGACGCAAGUCUGAACCAGCCAAGUAGCGUGCAGGAUGACGGCCCUAUGGGUUGUAAACUGCUUUUAUAUGGGGAUAAAGUGGGGAACGUGUUCCCUUUUGCAGGUACCAUAUGAAUAAGGACCGGCUAAUUCCGUGCCAGCAGCCGCGGUAAUACGGAAGGUCCAGGCGUUAUCCGGAUUUAUUGGGUUUAAAGGGAGCGUAGGCUGGAGAUUAAGUGUGUUGUGAAAUGUAGACGCUCAACGUCUGAAUUGCAGCGCAUACUGGUUGCCUUGAGUACGCACAACGUUGGCGGAAUUCGUCGUGUAGCGGUGAAAUGCUUAGAUAUGACGAAGAACUCCGAUUGCGAAGGCAGCUGACGGGAGCGCAACUGACGCUUAAGCUCGAAGGUGCGGGUAUCAAACAGG
rnacentral:rRNA from 1 species